rnacentral:rRNA from 1 species
GUAAAGUGGCGCACGGGUGAGUAACACGUGACUAACCUGCCCUGGAGUGGGGGAUAACUGAGGGAAACCUUAGCUAAUACCGCAUAAUACCUACGGGUCAAAGGAGCAAUUCGCUUUGGGAGGGGGUCGCGGCCGAUUAGUUAGUUGGCGGGGUAAUGGCCCACCAAGACGAUGAUCGGUAUCCGGCCUGAGAGGGCGCACGGACACACUGGAACUGAAACACGGUCCAGACUCCUACGGGAGGCAGCAGUGGGGAAUUUUGCGCAAUGGGGGAAACCCUGACGCAGCAACGCCGCGUGGAGGAUGAAGUCCUUCGGGACGUAAACUCCUUUCGAUCGGGACGAUUAUGACGGUACCGGAAGAAGAAGCCCCGGCUGACUUCGUGCCAGCAGCCGCGGUAAUACGAGGGGGGCGAGCGUUGUUCGGAAUUAUUAGGCGUAAAGGGUGCGUAGGCGGUUUGGUAAGUCUUUUGUGAAAACUCCGGGCUCAACUCGGAGCUUGCAGGAGAAACUGCCGGGCUUGAGUAUGGGAGAGGUGAGUGGAAUUCCUGGUGUAGCGGUGAAAUGCGUAGAUAUCAGGAGGAACACCUGUGGCGAAAGCGGCUCACUGGACCAUAACUGACGCUGAUGCACGAAAGCUAGGGGAGCAAACAGGAUUAGAUACCCUGGUAGUCCUAGCCCUAAACGAUGACUGCUUGGUGUGACGGGUACCCAAUCCCGCCGUGCCGUAGCUAACGCGUUAAGCAGUCCGCCUGGGGAGUACGGUCGCAAGGCUGAAACUCAAAGGAAUCGACGGGGGCCCGCACAAGCGGUGGAGCAUGUGGUUUAAUUCGACGCAACGCGAAGAAC